rnacentral:rRNA from 1 species
UACGUAGGGGGCAAGCGUUGUCCGGAAUUAUUGGGCGUAAAGAGCGUGUAGGCGGCCAGAUAAGUCCGCUGUGAAAUCUCGAGGCUCAACUUCGAGCUGUCGGUGGAAACUAUCUGGCUAGAGUCCGGAAGAGGAGAAUGGAAUUCCUGGUGUAGCGGUGAAAUGCGCAGAUAUCAGGAAGAACACCCGUGGCGAAGGCGGUUCUCUGGGACGGUACUGACGCUGAGACACGAAAGCGUGGGGAGCGAACAGG